CUGCGCUACUCUCUGCUACUGCUAAUUUGCUAAACCAGCGCACACAAAAAGGAAACGAAAAAAUCGAGGAGAAGAAAAAUGGCGGCUUUGCUCCGCCACGUCGCCGCCGCUCUCCUCUACAUCGUCGCGGCAGCCUCCGUCGCCGCCGCCUCCACGUAUUACGCCUCGGACCCCAACCUCGGAUCCGCCCGCGUCGUCUUCCAGACAAAUCAUGGUGACAUUGAGUUUGGCUUCUUUCCUCGUGUUGCACCUAAGACAGUUGAGCACAUUUUCAAACUUGUGCGACUUGGAUGCUAUAACACAAAUCACUUCUUCCGGGUUGACAAGGGUUUUGUUGCACAAGUUGCUGAUGUUGUGGGAGGUAGAAAAGCCCCUAUGAAUAAAGAGCAGGAACAACAGGCAGAGAAAUCAAUUGUUGGUGAAUUUAGUACUGUCAAGCAUAUCAGGGGAAUUCUCUCCAUGGGAAGGUAUUCUGACCCAGACAGUGCCUCGUCUUCCUUUUCUAUCCUUCUUGGUGACGCUCCUCACCUUGAUGGCCAGUAUGCUGUAUUUGGGAGGGUCACUAAGGGUGACGAUACACUAAGAAAACUAGAGCGCCUACCAACCCGUAAAGAAGGCAUUUUUGUAAUGCCGAUUGAGCGUAUCGAAAUAAUGUCAACAUACUAUUAUGGUGGGUUUGUAUAAUUCUGAGUUUCUGACCUAAAGCUGAAGUAUCUGUAUGACUUCCCUGCUGGCAUUCUAUCCAGCACUCUUACUAUGACUUGUGUAGUUUCGUCUGUUCAGAUCCUAACUACCUGAGUAUUACUUCUCUCCCAGUGACUGGAUCACCAGAUUACUUUGAUAUUGAAGUAGAUAGUUGCGAAGCAGAGAAAUCUAUUCUUAGGAAGAGACUUUCCGAAUCAUCAUCAGAAAUUGAACGAUGGAGACGAAAAUGCUUUGCAUGAUCCAGCAAUUGAGGAUGAGAAAGAAGCAUCAUUUUUUUUGUCGCCUUACCAAGAGUCCAAGGCAUGUUUUAAAUGAGUGUUCAUAUGCCUCGCUCUCGGGGUUUAGAGUACAUGUGCAUUUGAAAAGGAAAAUUAUUGUACUUGUUGAAAUGAAUUUAUUGUAAUUUUAGUUGUGUUUCAUGUAACUGUUCCCAUGGGGAUCCUGUACUUGUAGCAAGCUUCAAUAUAACCAGGCCUUGAUUAGUCUUGAGAAAAAAAAAAUAUACCGGAUGUCUCUUUCACUA